rnacentral:rRNA from 1 species
GCUCAGGGCGAACGCUGGCGGCACGCCUCAUACAUGCAAGUCGAGCGAUCGGAGGCUGGGUGCUUGCACCCGGCCUUACGGAGCGGCGAACGGGUGAGUAACACGUGGGCAAUCUGCCUCGAGGACGGGGAUAACGGCGGGAAACUGCCGCUAAUACCCGAUAACCCCACUGGAUCGCAUGAUCCGGCGGGUAAAUGGUUCUUCCGCCUCGAGAGGAGCCCGCGGCCUAUCAGCUUGUUGGUGGGGUAACGGCCUACCAAGGCUAUGACGGGUAGCCGGCCUGAGAGGGUGUUCGGCCACACCGGGACUGAGACACGGCCCGGACUCCUACGGGAGGCAGCAGUAGGGAAUCUUGCACAAUGGGCGCAAGCCUGAUGCAGCGAUGCCGCGUGAGGGAUGAAGGCCUUCGGGUUGUAAACCUCUUUCGCUAGGGAAGAAGCCACGGGUCACCGUGGUGACGGUACCUAGAGAAGAAGCCCCGGCUAACUACGUGCCAGCAGCCGCGGUAAAACGUAGGGGGCAAGCGUUGCCCGGAUUCACUGGGCGUAAAGCGGGUGUAGGCGGUCCUCUAAGUCGGAUGUGAAAUCCUUGCGGCUCAACCCGCGGAACUGCAUUNCGAUACUGGANGACUUUGA